GAAGAACCUUACCAAAUCUUGACAUCCUUUGACAACUCUAGAGAUAGAGCUUUCCCCUUCGGGGGACAAAGUGACAGGUGGUGCAUGGUUGUCGUCAGCUCGUGUCGUGAGAUGUUGGGUUAAGUCCCGCAACGAGCGCAACCCUUAUCUUUAGUUGCCAUCAUUAAGUUGGGCACUCUAGAGAGACUGCCGGUGACAAACCGGAGGAAGGUGGGGAUGACGUCAAAUCAUCAUGCCCCUUAUGAUUUGGGCUACACACGUGCUACAAUGGAUGGUACAAAGGGCAGCAAAACCGCGAGGUCAAGCAAAUCCCAUAAAACCAUUCUCAGUUCGGAUUGUAGUCUGCAACUCGACUACAUGAAGCUGGAAUCGCUAGUAAUCGUAGAUCAGCAUGGUACGGUAUKGGCA
rnacentral:rRNA from 1 species